rnacentral:rRNA from 1 species
CGCGAUAAAGUAGACCGCCUGGGGAGUACGGUUCGCAAGGACUAAAAACUCAAAUGAAUUGACCGGGGGCCCGCACAAAGCGGGUGGAGCCAUGUGGGUUUAAUUCGAUGCAAACGCGGAAGAACCUUACCUGGGCCUUGACAUACUAGAAACUGUUCCCAGAGCAUGGAUUGGUGCCUUUCGGGGAAUCUAGAUACAGGUGACUGCAUGGCUGUCGUCAGCUCGUGUCUUGUGAGAUUUGGGUUAAGUCCCGCAAACGAGAGCAAAACCCUUUUCCUUACUCGCCAGCGUAUUUGGGAUGGGAACUUUAAGGAUACUGCCAGUGACAAACUGGAGGAAGGGGGGGACGACGUCAAGUCUUCAUGGCCCUUAGGGCCAGGGCUACACACGUGCUACAAUGGUCGGUACAAAGGGUUGCUACACAGCGAUGUGAUGCUAAUCUCAAAAAGCCGAUCGUAGUCCGGAUUGGAGUCUGCAACUCGACUCCAUGAAGUCGGAAUCGCUAGUAAUCGCGGAUCAGAAUGCCGCGGUGAAUACGUUCCCGGGCCUUGUACACACCGCCCGUCACACCAUGGGAGUUUGUUGCAGCACGAGAAGUAGCUAGCCUAACUGCAUUAGUACACACGGUAACCUUUGGUUUUCCCACCGCC